GAUGAACGCUGGCGGCGUGCUUAACACAUGCAAGUCGAACGGUGAAGGCGGAGCUUGCUCUGCUGGAUCAGUGGCGAACGGGUGAGUAACACGUGAGCAAUCUGCCCCUGACUCUGGGAUAAGCGCUGGAAACGGCGUCUAAUACUGGAUACGAGCUGCGAAGGCAUCUUCAGCAGCUGGAAAGAACUUCGGUCAGGGAUGAGCUCGCGGCUUAUCAGCUUGUUGGUGAGGUAACGGCUCACCAAGGCGUCGACGGGUAGCCGGCCUGAGAGGGUGACCGGCCACACUGGGACUGAGACACGGCCCAGACUCCUACGGGAGGCAGCAGUGGGGAAUAUUGCACAAUGGGCGAAAGCCUGAUGCAGCAACGCCGCGUGCGGGACGACGGCCUUCGGGUUGUAAACCUCUUUUGGCAGGGAAGAAGCGAAAGUGACGGUACCUGCAGAAAAAGCGCCGGCUAACUACGUG
rnacentral:rRNA from 1 species